rnacentral:lncRNA from 1 species
UACCUCUGCCACCCUGAGCAGGGAGUGGCACUUGAUCCAAAGAGAGCCUCUGAAAUGGCUGCACCCGAUAUCUCAGCAGGUUACCCCAUAGAGUGUUGAGUGGGCAACUCAAUUAUUCCCUCACCUGAAGAAGUCUGAAAGCAAGACGAAGAGAGUCCUUUUGCAAGAGUGAUGUACAAAGCCCUACGGACAUACAGACUUCGUGUGCAAGUCCUGUGGAGGAGAGGAGAUGAGAGAGCAAUCGGUUGGUGGCAUCUGGGGACAUUAAACAGUGACGUGGACACAGUGAUGGCCUGCAGUGGUGAACCAGUGAGGGAACAAGUCCUAUGGUUGGGGAGCUACCUGAGGCUGGAGAGCAGAGUACAGCCAGGCCCACAGUGGUGCAGCAUACCAGAGUCAAGGUCUCACUAGGAUGUCCAGGCUGGCCUCGAACUCCUGGGCUCAAGCAAUCCACCUGCCUUGGCCUCUGAAAGUGCAGGAAUUACAGCCUUAUCCAAAAUCUCUGGAGGUAACACCAGUGGAAGCAACCUUAGAAGAGGAAUGAGUUGGCAGGAGGCAAGAGGCAGGAAAGCACUGAGAAUGUUUCAUCAUGAGAUGUGAGCAUCAUGUUCCAGGCCCUGAGUGCUUCAUAAAAAAAAAAGUUCCUUUUCCACCAAAACAAUGCCCUGAUUUGAGUGCUUCAUCAAAAGAGAAAGAUUUCUCAUGAUAAACCAUAUUCUAAGCACUUAGAUCACAAUAUAGUAAAUUUUCAAAAGGAAGUCACUUUUGCCAAGAUAUAAAGGCUCAUGUACGUAAAUUCUAUGCUUCCAAUAUAAGUACAUUUCAAAAAUAUUAUUAAACCCUUAUUUACUGA